GACGAACGCUGGCGGCGUGCUUAACACAUGCAAGUCGAACGGAAAGGCCUUUUCGGAGGUACUCGAGUGGCGAACGGGUGAGUAACACGUGGGUGAUCUGCCCUGCACUCUGGGAUAAGCCUGGGAAACUGGGUCUAAUACCGGAUAGGACCGCACUUUAGUGUGUGUGGUGGAAAGUUUUUUCGGUGUAGGAUGAGCCCGCGGCCUAUCAGCUUGUUGGUGGGGUAAUGGCCUACCAAGGCGGCGACGGGUAGCCGGACUGAGAGGUUAGUCGGCCACAUUGGGACUGAGAUACGGCCCAGACUCCUACGGGAGGCAGCAGUGGGGAAUAUUGCACAAUGGGCGCAAGCCUGAUGCAGCGACGCCGCGUGGGGGAUGACGGCCUUCGGGUUGUAAACUCCUUUCGCCAGGGACGAAGCGUUUUGUGACGGUACCUGGAGAAGAAGCACCGGCUAACUACGUG
rnacentral:rRNA from 1 species